rnacentral:rRNA from 1 species
CCUACGGGUGGCUGCAGUGAGGAAUAUUGGUCAAUGGACGCAAGUCUGAACCAGCCAUGCCGCGUGCAGGAAGAAGGCUCUAUGAGUUGUAAACUGCUUUUGUACGAGGGCAAACUCAGAUACGCGUACCUGUCUGAAAGUACCUUACGAAUAAGGAUCGGCUAACUCCGUGCCAGCAGCCGCGGUAAUACGGAGGAUUCAAGCGUUAUCCGGAUUUAUUGGGUUUAAAGGGUGCGUAGGCGGGCGGUUAAGUUAGCGGUGAAAUCCCGGGGCUCAACCUCGGCAUUGCCUCUGAUACUGGUUGGCUAGAGAGUAGUAGAGGUAGGCGGAAUGUAUGGUGUAGCGGUGAAAUGCUUAGAGAUCGUGCAGAACACCGAUUGCGAAGGCAGCUUACCGAGCUACAUCUGACGUUGAGGCACGAAAGCGUGGGGAGCAAACAGGAUUAGAUACCCCAGUAGUC